rnacentral:rRNA from 1 species
AGAAUCAACGCUGGCGGCGUGCCUAACACAUGCAAGUCGCACGAGAAAGGGACUUCGGUCUUGAGUAAAGUGGCGCACGGGUGAGUAACACGUGACUAAUCUACCCUCGAGUGGGGAAUAACUGAGAGAAAUCUUAGCUAAUACCGCAUAACACUUACGAGUCAAAGCAGCAAUGCGCUUGGGGAGGAGGUCGCGGCCGAUUAGCUAGUUGGCGGGGUAAUGGCCCACCAAGGCGAUGAUCGGUAUCCGGCCUGAGAGGGCGCACGGACACACUGGAACUGAAACACGGUCCAGACUCCUACGGGAGGCAGCAGUGGGGAAUUUUGCGCAAUGGGGGAAACCCUGACGCAGCAACGCCGCGUGGAGGAUGAAGUAUCUUGGUACGUAAACUCCUUUCGAUGGGGAAGAUAAUGACGGUACCCAUAGAAGAAGCCCAGGCUAACUUCGUGCCAGCAGCCGC